CGCAGCUGAUACUCUUUUGUGCAGCUAAGUCGACUAAACAAGAUGAAUAACGAGAAAAGUCUCUAGAAACUAAGCUUCAAGAUUUUCUCAUCUCUAAAAAAGUUACCAGGAAUGGGAGAUGCUCUUUAAAGCAGAGAUCAGAGCAGCACUUUUGAUUACACUACUUUGAAAGUCAGCAUUACCCUUUCUGUAAGUUAAACUUUGUAGCUGAUGGAGUUGCACAGGUGGCGUUUAUAGGACUUGGGAUGAACACUGCCCUUUGGACACAGAGCACUUUGAAAGAUUUAAACAGAACUUUUCUCGCACCUCAAGAGUUCGACUUUAACUCAGACACCAGCAGCAGCAGGCUGGACCUCAAUAAAGACCCAGGAGACAAGUGGCCACGGCUUCUCCACUUUAGGUGACUGGAAGAUUUUGGUACCUGGCUAAUGUGAACUCUUGGGGAUUCAUCAGAGUGUUCUGUGGAAUCCUAGUGGGUACCUGGUUCAUGUGAACUCUUGGGGAUUCAUCAGAGUGUUGCGUUAAAAAUCCUAGUGGGCUGGUCUUAUCUUUGUAGUGUUUAUGUAACUUCAAAUUAAGCUUACUUACAUAGAUGACAAAGUCCAAAAACUGACUAGUAAUGUAUCAUUAAUGGCAAAGGCACUUAAUCAAUUUCCAUUUUAUAGAAAUUACAAAGCUGACAAGGUGCCUCUUAUUUAUUUUGAUUUAAUUUUGAAAACAACAGAUAACAUACGUUUGUUAAACUCAAUCAUGGAGUAUCAUUAAUUAAAAAAAUAUAGAAGCAUUUCUAUGUAUGCCAUCAUUUUGUUAACUGUAGAAAAAAGUAUUCAGUUGGGCAGGGUGGAUGCAGCAUACCAAAUAUUGUUUUCAUCAUCAAAGUAAGUAUACUCGAGUUUGUUCUAAUUAAUCACCUGUCAGAUGCAAAGUGAUUGUAACUAGAUAAGUCAUAUAGUUUCAAUUAUAAAGAUAAUUGCACCCUUUUACAUCCCGUUAUUUUAAAGUGGAGCAUAGCUGGGACACAUUCAUUAAACAUGCACACUUAAAGGUCAGCUUUGUUGUUGACGAACAACCUCUAAUAUACUAAACACAUCAGAAACCUGUAAAAAAAAAAAUGAGGAUGAUAUUUUAUUGAAAAAAUAUGCAUACAAAAAUAGAAAUAAAGGAUACAUCAACACAUAUUUCUCUAAAACAUUGAGAUCUGUCAAAAUGACCUAGAUAUUUAGUUCAGCAAUAAAAAUGGCAGAUGAAAUUCAUUGAGGGCCAACUAUGAAGGAGUCCGAGACAUCUAGCCAGAAUUUAGUUAACAAUAAUCAAUAUUAGGAAUGAUUGUUCAAGCUAAGCUGAGAAGUUGGGCUAUAAUGAUUGGAGUAAAUGGGUCAUUUUGUCAUCCAGCUAUUUUGCUAACUACUUUGAUGGUCUCUUUUAUCCAGGAUUGUUUUGUUUGUUCACAAACAUAAUUGGUUUGAGUUUUCCAUAUAAAUAGAGAAAAAAUAUAGACAUGUGUUCUUAUUCAACUUGACAUGUUGUUACAACAUUGACGUUUAAAAGAUGUUACCCAACCCUUUGCUAUACUUGUAUGUCUUCAUAAUCCAUAUGUGAUUAUGGUUUCUUUAUAGAUUGGUUUGACUCUUGAAGUUUAGCUUUUUUAUGUAAUUUGGACCAAGAUACUACACAGCAGAAUAGCGAAUGUUAAACUGACUUGACUCAGGUUUUGCCCACAUGUUUUGAAAAAAGCUAAAUCUCUUUUUGGUUUUCUACCUUACUGGGUGACUCACCCCAUUACUAUACUGGAAAACAUUUGGAGAACAUCUGAACAUACAUAACCCUCAAUAAAAUGUUAUAUGCAAAAGUACCACUUGAAUAAAUAUUUUAAUAUCCUUUCAUCAAACAUGGCAUCUAAAAAUAUUUGUUUAUCACAAGCACACUUUAAUAUAUUUUAUGUUUAGCAGGUGCUUUUAGUUUACAUCAGAUUGUUGUAUGAUUCUUAAUAUAAAAUUAUCACGGAACCACGUAUGUUACUUGUCCUUUUCCCUUAUUAGAAUGUAGAAUUAGAGUUUCAACUGUGAUAUAUAGACUAGACAUCAAGCUUCUCUGAUUUCAUGUUCCCUCAGCAUGGAAGCUUUGCGGUCAUGUUCUUUUACCAGUAGACACAUCUGUGUAACAGAGCUCAAAUCACCAUUGUGAUGUUAUAAAACAAAUAGUCUAUAAAGAGUUUCAAAACACAGCUUCUCAAGCUAUGUAGAACACAACAGAGACAUAAAAAAGCUAAAUAUAUAUAUUUUUAACGUUGUUCUCCCACAAUCCAAGUUCUUCAUUUUAAUGUGCACUUUUUCAGAAUACGCAAUAUAUCCAACAUACCUAGACUAACCAAAUACGCCCAAUAAAUUUUUAUAUGCAUAUCAUUAAAGUUUGAAACCUUUUAUUUCAACAUUGGCCAACUGCCUUUAUAAACCCGACCAAGUUCGACUGACAUGAAUACAUAUAUAAACGGUA